rnacentral:rRNA from 1 species
UACAGAGGUCCCAAGCGUUGUUCGGAUUCACUGGGCGUAAAGGGCUCGUAGGCGGCCAACUAAGUCAGACGUGAAAUCCCUCAGCUUAACUGGGGAACUGCGUCUGAUACUGGAUGGCUUGGAUCCGGGAGAGGGAUGCGGAAUUCCAGGUGUAGCGGUGAAAUGCGUAGAUAUCUGGAGGAACACCGGUGGCGAAGGCGGCAUCCUGGACCGGUAUUGACGCUGAGGCGCGAAAGCCAGGGGAGCAAACGGG